rnacentral:lncRNA from 1 species
AUGCUUGCUGGAUGGAUGACUGCAGAAGACAGUUCAUGGCUACAAACACUCUCACUGGAUAUGGUACAUCUCCCUAUAGAGAUCGCUCAGUCAGGCAUUCAUCCAAUCUACUCCUGCACCGCUCAUUACGUCGAGAUGUUGCUCAAGGCAGAGGUUCCUCUGGUUUUUUCUGCCUUCAGGAUGUCUGACUUCACUCCCUCUCAGGUGCUGUAUUUCAAGUACUUCAUUUUAAUCACACCACUUCAAUCUUCUUUCUCCAUUUGUAAUAACCAAGCAGACUUGCCAACCUGUAUGGAUUUUGCAAAGCAGUUUGGCAUUCUGAUAUUUUUAGUGUCCCAGUCUUCCCAAAUGUAUAAUUUAUUUAGAGUUAUUUAUCAAUUUGCUGUCAACAGAAAGAAGCUUUAAAGUUUCCAUUUAAAGAAAGCAUUGUCAAAAAGGACAAACAAUGGCACUAACUUUUCUGAAUUUACUCAGGGCAUAUUAAUGAUAAUAAUAAUGUAAAAAAAUUGAGUGCAUUUGACCUCUCUUCCAUUUACACUGUGCUUUAUUAGAUUGUGUGGAUGUUUUUCUGUGAUUGUCACAGAACUGACGUUGUGAAUCAUGAUUGCUGGUUGAAUGAGUUUGACACUACCAGGGUAGAAAUAUAAAGAUGCAAGGACAUUCUGCUUUGACCUGAAUGACUGACAAUCUUCAUAGACAAAUGCAGUGAUUACUCAAAGCUGCACUCUCUCCAGGGUUUAUAUGCUUGGUGUCAAAUCUCUGCCUCAAUUCUUCUGUCAGAUUUAGUCAGAUAUGACCUUUUUCCUGCAGUCAAGGGCAAGCAUAUUAAAGAAUAACUGUGUUUUCUGGGUUUAGUUUAUUUAUAUUUUAUCCUUUGAACACUCUCAAUAGGCCUGGACAUGACAAAAAAAAGUAUUUCUCUGUGUGCCUGUAAAUUCAAGUACCAUGUUAAGGUUUACUGUACAGUGUGUUCUUGCAUCAACUUAUAUAUAUAAGGUUUUUUAGAACUUUUACUCAGCUGAGUAAAUAAAUAAAAAAUAUAUUCUGUAGUUGCUACACAGAUACCUGCAGUUCUGAAACUUAUAACUAGUUUUGAAUGGACAUAAACUGAAGGCAAGAAGAUUUUCUGUUUUGAAAUUGAGUGUCACCUCCUUCAUAGAGGCGUCCGUGUCUGGGCACUCAGGAACAAUGAUUCGAAUUCUAGACAAAGGAGGAGGAGAGACACAGAUGCUGUAUAAAUUGCCUGCUGGAGUGGUCUGAAUGUACAGAAGACAUGUACGCUUGGCAAAACUAGAACGCCAUCGACGAUACCACAGAAUAAUUGAACCGCUUCUAAGAGAGGAUUACAUGACCACAGCUCAGUUCACCACCACAGAAACAAAACAAAGAUACCUCAAGCCUCUUGAUAAAAGGGAUUUCUGCAUAUUUUGAUUCGAGCGACUUGAUUUAUUUUUUGUGUAUGAACUCCAGGAAUUUUUGUUUUUUUGCUGUCAUUCAUACAAAAUAAUUUUUUAUAAUUUUUUUGUCUUGUUUUCCAGACUCACCCUCAUGUCAUUCCAAACCAGUAUGCCUUUCUUCUGUGGAAUACAAAAGGAGAUGUAAAGGAGAAUGUUCACACUGCUCUUUUUCAUUUAAUGAAAGUGGAUAGGGAUUUGGGACAGUCAAGCUCCAAAAAAGAAGAAAACUCCAUUCUAUGAAUUCUGAAAAUUUUCCUCAGAGGAAAGAAAGUCUGUUUCGAAAGACAUGAGUGUGAGUAGAUAAUGACAAAAUUUUAACUAGUCCUUUAAGGAGAGAAAAUCCUGAGGCAGUGAUGUUUUAAAGGAGCGCUGAGGGUUUACAGUGUGCAAGCGUGUCUGCAAUAAAUCAGAUUUAGCACAUUCAUGCCCUUGUUUCACUCUUUAAAGUUUACAACUUUUUAGUUUUUGCGUGAGCAUCGGUGUUCACAGUGUACCCUGUUCAAUAGAGAAAAGGUUUCCGACAAUUUCUGAAAGGUUUCUGAGGAUUUGUACAUUAAAAGAAUUGCAAAACUUAUCUAUGUUUCAUCUAAAUUAAAGAUCUGGAUGGAAAUUACUUGUAACAAUUCCUCCGAAUGUCUCUCUAAAGCUGAAUACAGAGUAAAUGUACAAUGAAUCCAUUUUAGAUGAUUCAACAUUGCAGAAAUCAAACUCAACUAAAGUCAUUCUUUGUUUGCAGGAUUUAAAAAGCAAUUGUCUGUCACUACCGAAUACCUCCAACACUUUGAAAACCAUAACACUGGUUAGUGAGUUCAGAGCAUCCUGCAGAACCAUUUAAGGCCUUUUUUCUUUGUUUUUAUCAGCAACAAUAGGCAGCAUGGUUUUAAUGUCUUUAGGUAAUGGGUACUUGUAAUUAAAAUGACAUUUUUAGCAUUUUUAAUUUUAAACACACCAGUGUGCACCCAUUUUCUAGUACAUUUAAUCAUUUAGCAAAAACGUUUUAUACAAAGCGACGUACAAUUGAGGAGAACAAUAGAAGCAACAGUAUACAACAGUAUCUCAGUUAGUCUAGCGCAGUAAAGAUACAGUAGCAAGGUUUAUAUAUAUAUA